ACCACCAUAGAAUCUUGUGCACAUGAAUCCAUAUUUUGGUUCAUACCCAGACAUGGUAUUAAGAUAUGUACGAAAUAUUCUGAAAAUGGUGGAGUGUGUAUAGAGAUUGUGAAUAGAUCAACAUAGAAUCGAUCACUCCUAGUAAGAGAAGAUCGCAUCUUGUGUAUUCUUAAUCCUAGAUGACUAAGAAAAAAAUUUUUGGCCA
rnacentral:lncRNA from 1 species